GACGUAGGAUGCAAGCGUUUUCCGGAUUUAUUGGGCGUAAAGAGUUCGUAGGUGGUUUGUUAAGUCUGAUGUUAAAGACUGGGGCUCAACCUCGGAAAUGCAUUGGAUACUGGCAGACUUGAGUGUGGUAGAGGCAAUCGGAAUUCCAGGUGUAGCGGUGAAAUGCGUAGAUAUCUGGAAGAACACCGGUGGCGCAAGCGGAUUGCUGGGCCAUAACUGACACUGAGGAACGAAAGCUAGGGUAGCGAAUGGG
rnacentral:rRNA from 1 species